GUUUUCCGCCAUCUUGUUACACCGCAUGGAUGAACUCGACGUGGGAAAACGGGAAUCAAGAAAAUUGCUGCGAAUAAAGUUUCAAACAAAGCUCACAGCAGAACCAUAGCACAUCUCAUGGGACUGCCAUAAAGUUGUCUUGACGACUUAGAUUCGAAGCAGCUACAUGAUAUUGACAACAAAGGUUGUGAACUACAACAUUUUUUACAAUCGAUCAAAAUGGG